rnacentral:rRNA from 1 species
CGAGCGGACUUGAUGAGAAGCUUGCUUCUCUGAUAGUUAGCGGCGGACGGGUGAGUAACACGUAGGCAACCUGCCCUCAAGCUUGGGACAACUACCGGAAACGGUAGCUAAUACCGAAUAGUUGUUUUCUUCGCCUGAAGAGAACUGGAAAGACGGAGCAAUCUGUCACUUGGGGAUGGGCCUGCGGCGCAUUAGCUAGUUGGUGGGGUAACGGCUCACCAAGGCGACGAUGCGUAGCCGACCUGAGAGGGUGAUCGGCCACACUGGGACUGAGACACGGCCCAGACUCCUACGGGAGGCAGCAGUAGGGAAUCUUCCGCAAUGGGCGAAAGCCUGACGGAGCAAUGCCGCGUGAGUGAUGAAGGUUUUCGGAUCGUAAAGCUCUGUUGCCAGGGAAGAACGCUUGGGAGAGUAACUGCUCUCAAGGUGACGGUACCUGAGAAGAAAGCCCCGGCUAACUACGUGCCAGCAGCCGCGGUAAUACGUAGGGGGCAAGCGUUGUCCGGAAUUAUUGGGCGUAAAGCGCGCGCAGGCGGUCAUUUAAGUCUGGUGUUUAAUCCCGGGGCUCAACCCCGGAUCGCACUGGAAACUGGGUGACUUGAGUGCAGAAGAGGAGAGUGGAAUUCCACGUGUAGCGGUGAAAUGC